UACGUAGGGUGCGAGCGUUAAUCGGAAUUACUGGGCGUAAAGCGUGCGCAGGCGGUUUUGUAAGCCAGAUGUGAAAUCCCCGGGCUUAACCUGGGAAUGGCAUUUGGGACUGCAAGGCUGGAGUUUGGCAGAGGAGACUGGAAUUCCUGGUGUAGCAGUGAAGUGCGUAGAUAUCAGGAGGAAUACCGAUGGCGAAGGCAGGUCUCUGGGCUAUAACUGACGCUCAUGCACGAAAGCGUGGGGAGCAAACAGG
rnacentral:rRNA from 1 species